rnacentral:misc_RNA from 1 species
CAAGAAACAUUCAUUAUGCAGCUGUUAAGUGUUAGAUGACAGCAAGUUAUUGAUACCCAACGGCAAACAGCGGAAAUAAUUGGUGAUUUGACCAAUAUUAACUCCUGUCAAUCAACAAAUGAUCCGCUUUUGACUUGUACUUCCCCGUCGUUGCGGAUGUUUAAGGGAGAUCAUAAGAUCAAGAUUUUCGGCGAGAGUUUUUAAGUGCGAUCUUAACAUUUAACGACUCAGAGAGAGGAGAUAGGUUUCCACUUUUGAUAUAAGUUAAUCUUUUUCCUCGAAAGAUUUGAUAAUCAAUACGUUAAUAACUCUGAGCUGACAUAAGUUGGGAACCACCGAAAAAACUAUCUAUGGCGAACAUCACUGCCGAAGAUGAAGCUAACACAGUCAAGACAGAAAUCUUGCAUUAUAUAAGCAGUGCUCCAGGUGGCGUAUCUAUUUUUCUUGCAGCUUUAAACAUAGUUCUCGCCAUCGUCGCAACUCUGGGAAAUUUUCUUCUCCUGAUUGCAUUGCGUAAAGUCAUAUCAAUUUAUCCUCCAACAAAACUUUUUUUCCGAAGUUUGGCAGUGACUGAUCUCUUCGCUGGUCUCAUCGUGCAACCAAUGUACUCAAUUACUCUUAUACCAGGGAUAAGCCACAAGAAUCUUAUGUACUACAGCAUCCAAGUAACUGGCAUCUCUGGCUCAAUUCUUUGCACCGUUUCGAUUUUGACUUCAACCGCAAUCAGUGUGGACAGGCUUCUGGCGCUGCUUUUGGGGCUGAGAUACAAACAGGUUGUAACACUGAAGCGCACACGAGCGGUGGUGGGCUGUAUUUGGUUACUGAGCUGUUCAAUGGGUGGAUGGAGGUACAGUAAUUGGGGCGCUGAAGUUUCCAAAUUCACCUUGUUUGUUUUGAUGCUUCUGUCCCUAAUAAUUUCCAUCUGCUCUUACACGAAGAUCUAUCUCUACCUACAAAAUCAACAAGCUCAGUUACACGCAAAAAAACACCGUGAGAUCCAUCAAGAGCCAACAUCAAACGGAGGAGAAGGUCGACUGAAUAUAGAAAGAUAUAAGAAGUUGGUUUCUAGUAUAGCAUGGGUACAGUUGGCUUUACUUCUGUGUUUUAUUCCCUUUACUGUUGGGAGUAUGCUAUUCACACACAGAAAACUAACUGGUGUGGCCACUGGAAUAGCGCAUUUUUGUGUAUCAAUCCCAUAUGUGCUGUUUAACCCAGCUCUGAACCCGAUUCUUUACUGCUGGAAGAUCAGAGAAGUCAAACAAGCCAUGAAGGAGACUGUCAGAAAAUUAAACUGCUAUUUCAAGUCAAGCUGGUCCUUUUUUCCGUCGAGCAUCACUAAUACCACCCGAGCUUAACUUAAAUUCUGACUGUGCAUGGCGUCUUUGAAACAUAUCUAGCACCAUAAGGUGACACUGUGGAUCCAGUUUUGACAUUGAAAAUCGAAUUUCGAAUUUAAUAUUCUAAAGCCAUCCGGAAACAAAGUAGAUUAGAGGAAAUUCAAAACCAUUCCGGUAUAAUGCUGUACAAAAUUGACAAGGGACAAAACUUUAAAGAAUAAACCGUAAUUCAAAAUUUGUAGAUACAAAUAAGUUUAAAUUUUUAGAAAUUAUAUACGUAAAUAUUAAAAUACGUAAACCGUGAGAUUGAUAUUGAUGUUUAAUAUUAUGUUUAAUUUCGUGUAAAAAUUUGAUGUGGAAACAGAAUGUUUGAACGAUGACAUGAAUUUUUCAGGCCAAAAGUUAUAAGCUGAAUAUUUCCGCGACAACAUAAAGUGCGCGGUAAUAACAUGUUACAGAGCAGAUGCAGCUGUCUACCUGUAUAUUUAUUUUCAAGUCUUUUUCAGUUAUUCAGAAUAAGCUCAAACGCAUGGGCGUAUCGUUGACCGGCAAUGUUUUCUGGUUUAAAAAAUCUUGAGGAUACUUGUCAAGGAUACGCAACAUUCUCGGGAAGAAUUCUCGUGCGCUGCACCAUUAUUUAGUGUUGCAUGCUUAUUUUACCAUAAAAAAAGCCGACAUUUAAAAAUUUUAAUAUUUGUCCAUUUUCUGCACACAUGCGCAAUUGGUAUUUUUGUCACCAGCGUGACUGAGAGUGAACUAAAAUUUAUCAUUUGGCGGAAUCGAACGUCAGAUCUUCCAGACAGACCACAGAGAACUCGAGGGCGAGUCAGGUCAUAUCAUGAUAUUCAAAUCUUGUUGAGAAGUAAAUAGAUGUAGACAAGCACUGAAAAUAAAGCAAUAAGGAUUGAUAUUUUACCACAUUGCGUAGUCAGGAUUUGUUGACGGUAAUUCGUACCUGAUUUCACGCGUCGUUUAUUUUCAGCUUAAUUAAGGGCCUCAUAUGAUACCCACAGAAUUUUCAAGCGUUGCAUCAUACUGACCACAAACUACUUAUACAAGUAUUUGAUAAUUUUUUCAUUCUAUAAAAGUUACGAUUAGCUAAAAAAUGAUGUAGAUAAAUUUGGUUGAAGACGUGCAUAGGCAAUAGAAAGAAUCCGCUAAGUGAUCGAGGGUCAAAUUAAAUCGUCUGUUUUUAAGUCCACCACCAUCGACUCGUGAUAUUGAUAUGAGAGGAUCGUUGCAAAAUGACGGUAAAGGUAGAUCUUCGUGUACGAGCAGAUGGAAAUUAUUAGGGACAGAAGCAUCAAAACAAAC